rnacentral:rRNA from 1 species
GACGAACGCUGGCGGCGUGCUUAACACAUGCAAGUCGAACGGAAAGGCCCUGCUUUUGUGGGGUGCUCGAGUGGCGAACGGGUGAGUAACACGUGAGUAACCUGCCCUUGACUUUGGGAUAACUUCAGGAAACUGGGGCUAAUACCGGAUAGGAGCUCCUGCUGCAUGGUGGGCGUUGGAAAGUUUCGGCGGUUGUGGAUGGACUCGCGGCUUAUCAGCUUGUUGGUGGGGUAGUGGCUUACCCAGGCUUUGACGGGUAGCCGGCCUGAGAGGGUGACCGGCCACAUUGGGACUGAGAUACGGCCCAGACUCGUACGGGAGGCAGCAGUGGGGAAUAUUGCACAAUGGGCGGAAGCCUGAUGCAGCAACGCCGCGGGCGGGAUGACGGCCUUCGGGUUGUAAACCGCUUUCGCCUGUGACGAAGCGUGAGUGACGGUAAUGGGUAAAGAAGCACCGGCUAACUACGUG